rnacentral:rRNA from 1 species
AACGAACGCUGGCGGCAGGCCUAACACAUGCAAGUCGAGCGAGGACUUCGGUCCUAGCGGCGGACGGGUGAGUAACGCGUGGGAACGUGCCCUUUGCUUCGGAAUAGCCCUGGGAAACUGGGAGUAAUACCGGAUGAGCCCUUUGGGGGAAAGAUUUAUCGGCGAAGGAUCGGCCCGCGUUGGAUUAGGUAGUUGGUGGGGUAAUGGCCUACCAAGCCGACGAUCCAUAGCUGGUUUGAGAGGAUGAUCAGCCACACUGGGACUGAGACACGGCCCAGACUCCUACGGGAGGCAGCAGUGGGGAAUCUUAGACAAUGGGGGAAACCCUGAUCUAGCCAUGCCGCGUGAGCGAUGAAGGCCUUAGGGUUGUAAAGCUCUUUCAGCUGGGAAGAUAAUGACGGUACCAGCAGAGGAAGCCCCGGCUAACUCCGUG